rnacentral:rRNA from 1 species
UACGUAGGUGGCAAGCGUUGUUCGGAAUUACUGGGCGUAAAGCGCGCGUAGGCGGACUGGCAAGUCAGAUGUGAAAGCCCCGGGCUCAACUUGGGAACUGCAUUUGAUACUGCCAGACUAGAGUACAGAAGAGGUGACUGGAAUUCCCAGUGUAGCGGUGAAAUGCGUAGAUAUUGGGAGGAACACCAGAUGCGAAGGCGGGUCACUGGGCUGAUACUGACGCUGAGGCGCGAAAGCCAGGGGAGCGAACGGG